rnacentral:rRNA from 1 species
GACGAACGCUGGCGGCGCGCUUAACACAUGCAAGUCGAGCGGUAAGGCCCUUCGGGGUACACGAGCGGCGAACGGGUGAGUAACACGUGGGUGACCUGCCUCUAGCUCUGGGAUAAGCCUGGGAAACUGGGUCUAAUACCGGAUAUGACUCCACGGCGCAUGUUGUGGGGUGGAAAGCCUUGUGUGGCUAGAGAUGGGCCCGCGGCCUAUCAGCUUGUUGGUGGGGNGAUGGCCUACCAAGGCGACGACGGGUAGCCGGCCUGAGAGGGCGACCGGCCACACUGGGACUGAGACACGGCCCAGACUCCUACGGGAGGCAGCAGUGGGGAAUCUUGCGCAAUGGGCGAAAGCCUGACGCAGCGACGCCGCGUGAGGGAUGACGGCCU